rnacentral:misc_RNA from 1 species
AAGGAGUCUAACAUGUGUGCGAGUUUUUGGGUGGCAAACCCAUGAGCGUAAUGAAAGUGAAUGCAGGUGGGAUCCGCAAGGAGCGCCAUCGACCGGCCCUGAUGUUCUCGGAUGGGUCUGCGUAAGAGCAUAUAUGUUGAGACCCGAAAGAUGGUGAACUAUACCUGAAUAGGGCGAAGCCAGAGGAAACUCUGGUGGAGGCUCGCAGCGGUUCUGACGUGCAAAUCGAUCGUCAAAUUUGGGUAUAGGGGCGAAAGACUGAUCGAACCAUCUAGUAGCUGGUUCCUGC